CCUACGGGUGGCUGCAGUGGGGAAUAUUGCACAAUGGGCGCAAGCCUGAUGCAGCCAUGCCGCGUGUGUGAAGAAGGCCUUCGGGUUGUAAAGCACUUUCAGCGGGGAGGAAGGCGGUGAGGUUAAUAACCUCAUCGAUUGACGUUACCCGCAGAAGAAGCACCGGCUAACUCCGUGCCAGCAGCCGCGGUAAUACGGAGGGUGCAAGCGUUAAUCGGAAUUACUGGGCGUAAAGCGCACGCAGGCGGUCUGUCAAGUCGGAUGUGAAAUCCCCGGGCUCAACCUGGGAACUGCAUUCGAAACUGGCAGGCUAGAGUCUUGUAGAGGGGGGUAGAAUGCCAGGUGUAGCGGUGAAAUGCGUAGAGAUCUGGAGGAAUACCGGUGGCGAAGGCGGCCCCCUGGACAAAGACUGACGCUCAGGUGCGAAAGCGUGGGGAGCAAACAGGAUUAGAUACCCCAGUAGUC
rnacentral:rRNA from 1 species